GACGAACGCUGGCGGCGUGCUUAACACAUGCAAGUCGAACGGAAAGACCCUGCUUUUGUGGGGUGCUCGAGUGGCGAACGGGUGAGUAACACGUGUGUAACCUGCCCUUGUCUUUGGGAUAACUUCAGGAAACUGCGGCUAUUACCGCGUAGGAGCUCCUGAUGCAUGGUGGGGGUUGGAAAGUUUCGGCGGUUGGGGAUGGACUCGCGGGUUAUCCGCUUGUUGGUGUGGUAGUGGCUGACCAAGGCUGUGACGGGUAGCCGGCCUGGGAGGGGGACCGGCCACAAGGGUCCUGAGGGACGCACCAGACUCGAACGGUCGGCAGUAGUGGAGAACAUUGCGCAACGAGCGGGAGCCUGAGGCAGCGACGUUGGGUGCGGGAUGCUGUGUUACGGGUGGUGAACAGAUGUCUAAGGAACUGAAGAGUGAGUGACGGUAACGGGUAAAGAAGCACCGGCUAACUACGUG
rnacentral:rRNA from 1 species